rnacentral:rRNA from 1 species
UACGUAGGGUGCGAGCGUUAAUCGGAAUUACUGGGCGUAAAGUGUGCGCAGGCGGCCGAGCAAGUCGAGUGUGAAAGCCCCGGGCUUAACUUGGGAAUUGCGCUCGAAACUACUUGGCUGGAGUGUGGCAGAGGAAGGUGGAAUUCCAGGUGUAGCGGUGAAAUGCGUAGAGAUCUGGAGGAACACCGAUGGCGAAGGCAGCCCCCUGGGCCAACACUGACGCUCAGGCACGAAAGCGUGGGGAGCAAACAGG